GCCUUUGUCUACCUUUGUGAUAUUUUUUUUGCACAUUGUCUCUCACUUACACUUGGCUAGUCUUCGAGAAAAACAGCAAAACCCAUCUUCUUCUUCUCAAAGAGAACCAGUCUUCUUCUCUUAAAGAGUCGAACCCAUCUUCUCAAAACACCAUCUUCUGAAAACACUCGAUUAAGGUUCGAUCAAUUAGGGUUUUCAAUUUGGGGAUUUGAAGGAGGAGGAAAAGGAAGAUGGGGGGGGGGGGGGGGGGGGUGGGGGUGGGUGGGUGUUUCUCGGCUACAUUAAUCGAUAAAUCUACUGAGUCAAAUUCUGAUACUCUUAUGCGAAUCGAUGAAUCUUCCCCUUUCAACAAAACAUCCGAUGGAGAUCUGCACACUAUAUAUGUCUAAGGUCUCGAGCCAAGCUGACAUUCAAGCGCCGUCUCAUGGCCAUCUAACUAAUUUCUUAAGUGUCAAACCCAUUGUGUUUAUCGCUGCCAUUUAUCGGGCGAGUUCAUCUCGAGGAUUCUCUGAACAUUGCAACGCAUUCCCUUGUUGAUAUGGAAGAGCUGAGGCAAGACUCGUAAAGGAAGCACGACUGGCGGAGGAGGCUAGAGUUACAGAGGAGACAGCCUAAAUAGCAAAAGAGGAGGCUAAUUAAAACAGCUUAAGAGGCUGAGUCUGGGAACUUUGGUAUCCAUUUCUAGAUUACUAUUAUCUAUGCUACUACUAAAGUCUUAUACUAGCUACGGUACUACCAUGACUCUUAAAUUUGCAUAUGUAUGGAUUUAGUGGUGUUGAACGAGAUGAUAUUAAGGAACCUUUUACUGAGAUAGUAGUAAACCAUUAUACUUGUCAUGUGAUGCUGCCUGUCUGAUUGGAGACAUCUUUUAUUAUGUGUACCAUUAUUGUUAAUCAGUGAUGAGCUUGUAUCCUCGUCUUAGUCGUAGGUUUAAGUUGAAAUGCUGAAAGACAGAAUUAUAUUGUUGCU
rnacentral:lncRNA from 1 species